rnacentral:rRNA from 1 species
GUACAGGCCGCUUCUAAGGCAAAACCGCGAAUGGCUCAUUAAACCAGUUAUGAUCCACUAGAUGGAAAACCCAUUACUCGGAUAACCCUGGUAAUUCUAGAGCUAAUACGUGCUACAUGCUCCGACCGAGAGGGAGGAGUGCUUUUAUUAGAUGAAAACCAAUCGGACCUCGGUCCGUCUCACGAGAACGUGACGAUUCUGAAUAACUUUGUGCAGAGGGCACGGUCUCCGCACCGGCCCCGUGUCUUUCGAGUUUCUGCUUUAUCAUGCUGUGGAUUGUAGGCCAUACGCCUACAGUGGCUGUAACGGAUGACGGAGAAUCAGGGUUCGAUUCCGGAGAGGGAGCCUGAGAAACGGCUACCACAUCCAAGGAAGGCAGCAGGCACGCAAAUUACCCAAUCCCAGCCCGGGGAGGUAGUGACGAAAAAUAACGAUGCGGGACACUUCUGUGUCUGCGUAAUCGGAAUGAGCACACCCCAAACCAUUGUGCAACAACCGAUUGGAGGGCAAGUCUGGUGCCA